rnacentral:rRNA from 1 species
UACGGAAGGCAGCAGUGGGGAAUAUUGCACAAUGGGCGCAAGCCUGAUGCAGCCAUGCCGCGUGUAUGAAGAAGGCCUUCGGGUUGUAAAGUACUUUCAGCGGGGAGGAAGGCGAUGUGGUUAAUAACCGCGUCGAUUGACGUUACCCGCAGAAGAAGCACCGGCUAACUCCGUGCCAGCAGCCGCGGUAAUACGGAGGGUGCAAGCGUUAAUCGGAAUUACUGGGCGUAAAGCGCACGCAGACGGUCUGUUAAGUCAGAUGUGAAAUCCCCGGGCUUAACCUGGGAACUGCAUUUUGAAACUGGCAGGCUUGAGUCUCGUAGAGGGGGUAGAAUUCCAGGUGUAGCGGUGAAAUGCGUAGAGAUCUGGAGGAAUACCGGUGGCGAAAGGCGGCCCCUGGGACGAAGACUGACGCUCAGGGUGCGAAAGCGUGGGGAGCAAAACAGGGAUUAGAUACC